rfam:Rattus norvegicus chromosome 5, whole genome shotgun sequence.
ACCGCUGAGCCAUCUCUCCAGCCCCACAAUUAAUUGUUUUUAAGACAAUCUCAUGGGCUGGAGAGAUGGCUCAGCGGU